rnacentral:rRNA from 1 species
GACGAACGCUGGCGGCGUGCUUAACACAUGCAAGUCGAACGGAAAGGCCCUGCUUUUGUGGGGUGCUCGAGUGGCGAACGGGUGAGUAACACGUGAGUAACCUGCCCUUGACUUUGGGAUAACUUCAGGAAACUGGGGCUAAUACCGGAUAGGAGCUCCUGCUGCAUGGUGGGGGUUGGAAAGUUUCGGCGGUUGGGGAUGGACUCGCGGCUUAUCAGCUUGUUGGUGGGGUAGUGUCUUACCAAGGCUUUGACGGGUAGCCGGCCUGAGAGGGUGACCGGCCACAUUGGGACUGAGAUACGGCCCAGACUCCUACGGGAGGCAGCAGUGGGGAAUAUUGCACAAUGGGCGGAAGCCUGACGCAGCAACGCCGCGUGCGGGAUGACGGCCUUCGGGUUGUAAACCGCUUUCGCCUGUGACGAAGCGUGAGUGACGGUAAUGGGUAAAGAAGCACCGGCUAACUACGUG